GACGGAGGGGGCAAGCGUUGUUCGGAAUUAUUGGGCGUAAAGGGUGCGUAGGUGGCGCGCUAAGUCAGGUGUGAAAUUUCGGAGCUUAACUCCGAAACUGCAUUUGAUACUGGCGUGCUUGAGGACUGGAGAGGAGACUGGAAUUCACGGUGUAGCAGUGAAAUGCGUAGAGAUCGUGAGGAAGACCAGUGGCGAAGGCGGGUCUCUGGACAGUUCCUGACACUGAGGCACGAAGGCCAGGGGAGCAAACGGG
rnacentral:rRNA from 1 species